rnacentral:rRNA from 1 species
AUUGAACGCUGGCGGCAGGCCUAACACAUGCAAGUCGAACGAGUGGCGGACGGGUGAGUAAUGUCUGGGAAACUGCCCGAUGGAGGGGGAUAACUACUGGAAACGGUAGCUAAUACCGCAUACCAUCGGAUGUGCCCAGAUGGGAUUAGCUUGUAGGUGAGGUAACGGCUCACCUAGGCGACGAUCCCUAGCUGGUCUGAGAGGAUGACCAGCCACACGGGAACUGAGCCAGGGUCCAGACGCCGACGGGAGGAAGAAGUGGGUAAGAUUGGACAAUGGGCGCAAGCCUGAUGCAGCCAUGCGGCGGUGAUGAAGAAGGCCUUCGGGUUGUAAAGUACUUUCAGCGUGGAGGCGUUACCCGCAGAAGAAGCACCGGCUAACUCCGUGCCAGCAGCCGCGGUAAUAC